UGGGGACAACGUUCGAAAGGAACGCUAAUACCGCANUACGUCCUACGGGAGAAAGCAGGGGACCUUCGGGCCUUGCGCUAUCAGAUGAGCCUAGGUCGGAUUAGCUAGUUGGUGAGGUAAUGGCUCACCAAGGCGACGAUCCGUAACUGGUAUGAGAGGAUGAUCAGUCACACUUGGAACUGAGACACGGUCCAGACUCCUACGGGAGGCAGCAGCC
rnacentral:rRNA from 1 species